CACCUGAUUGACGAUGGAUCACCAGUGAGUGGCGGACGGGUGAGUAACACGUAGGUAACCUGCCCCGGAGCGGGGGAUAACAUUUGGAAACAGAUGCUAAUACCGCAUAACAACAAAAGCCGCAUGGUUUUUGUUUGAAAGAUGGCUUUGGCUAUCACUCUGGGAUGGACCUGCGGUGCAUUAGCUAGUUGGUAAGGUAACGGCUUACCAAGGCGAUGAUGCAUAGCCGAGUUGAGAGACUGAUCGGCCACAAUG
rnacentral:rRNA from 1 species